rnacentral:miRNA from 1 species
GUAACCAUUGACCUCCAUAGUAUUUGUUAUUCCUACUAUGGAAGUAAAUGGUUACAGGUUUCCAACAUUCUUC